GGAGGUAGAGGGGUGGAGGGAUAAAGGUGGAGGUAGAGGUGGAGGGGUAGAGGUAGAGGUGGAGGGAUGGAGGUGGAGAGAUGAAGGGGCAGGGAUAGGUGGAGUAACUUGAACCCUAAACCUAUACAGAAUAAAAUGCAAGAAAGUUUUGGUGAUGUAGGACAUUUUGUCCUUUCCAGCAUGUCCUUCUAGUGAUGUUCAGGGCACAUAGCUCCAAGCUGUACCCCAUUCUGGCUUCAAGCUCCGGUCCACAGUGCUCUGUUUUAGUCACUCUCACACACACACAUUCACCCCUUUGUACCCUCCAACACACACACACACACAGACAUAGACACAUAGACACACACAGACAUAGACACACGGACACACACACACACACACACACGUAGACACACACACGCAUACAGUAUAUGGAAACACACACAUGUCCUGCUUUAAGCUCAGGUCUAUACUGCUCCCAUGAUGCCCAGCUGUAACCAAUGAACAUUCCAGUAGAGACUUUUUUCCCUCUAUCAUUUCACAUGUCUGCUCUGAGCCUUUAGGGGGACCAGCGAACAAAUAUGUGCAGGCUUGUGUCCGAACUUUGUUUGACCUUUUUAUGGCGACCCAGUACUCGUGACUUUUUAGACCCCACACUGAGGAAGGAGGGUCGGGGGUGGGAUUAGACAUAGCAUGAUUGUUCGACCUCCACCUCGCCUCUGGGUGUCUUUCUCUCUGUAACCUCUGAACUAUUAGUCAACCUACUUGCUUAUUGUCACGUCUGGCUGUGUAGUCUCUUGACUGUAAGACUGACGUUGAACGGCAGCUGGGUUUAUCUUAUAUGACAUUUAUUGAGCACUCCUUGAGAAAUGACAAGAUCUCCCUGAGCUUAAUCCUGUCUAUGAUGAUGUCACUUCUCUCCUUUUAGUAAAGAACAGCAUUAGUCUUACUGGGCAUGCUCUGUAGAGCUCCACCUUUUGUCUCUUUCAUAAACCUUUACAUACGUACCUGGUAAGUAUUUCAUGAUCUAUUUUUAGUUACAGUAUCUG
rnacentral:lncRNA from 1 species